CCUCGCCAGUUCCGCUUGGACGCGGUGGGCUGAGUUCGAGCCCCGGCCACAGCGAAUUUAACAUGGUUUCCGUUUGGCUUCCAGGACCUUCCUCGCCAGUUCCAGUUGGAUGCGGUGGGAUAGUCGGACUAAAUGAGAAGUCCGGAUACUUGGAUUAUCAAAAAAAAAAAAAAGAUACACACAUGAAGGAUUAGGCUUUUACGAAAUUACGAGUUUCACCAAAAAUAAAUUCUAGCGGACUAAACAACAUUCUUUUGUGAAGGAUGAAGAACAACGCAUCAUAUUAUAGAUAAGCUUACCGUUUUGAUGAC
rnacentral:lncRNA from 1 species